CGGAACGGGUGAGUAACGCGUGAGGAACCUGCCUCAAAGAGGGGACGAACAGUUGGAAACGACUGCUAAUACCGCAUAAGCCCACGGCUCGGCAUCGAGCAGAGGGAAAAGGAGUGAUCCGCUUUGAGAUGGCCUCGCGUCCGAUUAGCUGGUUGGUGAGGUAACGGCCCACCAAGGCGACGAUCGGUAGCCGGACUGAGAGGUUGAACGGCCACAUUGGGACUGAGACACGGCCCAG
rnacentral:rRNA from 1 species